GAAAAAACAAGGGUGGGGUGAACAGUGUCAAUGAGCACUGGAUGGAGUAAGGAGACAGGUAUUCAAAAUAAUCCACUGGUUUUGGCAAAUUAGCUAGCUGGUCAAAUUUUCACAGUACCAGGAUAUAAGUCAAGUGUGUCAUCUUGUAAUUAAAUGAAGAAAGUGUGACCUGUUCCAAUGAUGGAAGUGUCAACAUUGCAACUUCCUUAAGGAUUUCCAAAGGGUAAACUUCAUACUCCACAAAAUUUAAUCGCACAGCACGAAGUCACGUGGGCUUUCUGAAAUGGCUAAAGACUUGCUGUGUUCACUGAUGAAUCUCCAGUGCCAAAAACAGUGCCUGGCACACAUGUAGGUGCUCAGUUAUCAUUUUCAUUCUGAAGCUGUUUUGCAUCCAACAUGGGAAGGCGAAUUCCAUCUUCAAGGCAUCUUUCUACUUUUUGCUGCAAGCUGUAUGUUUUAGAAAGACAAUUAAAGACAAUCCACUCUGUGUGCUGAUUUUGGUAGAUGACUUCAACAUAAAUGAAGUCCCUUCUUAGGGUCAACAGUAUUUUUUAAUCAGACAAUAAUCGAGACCUACU